GAUGAACGCUAGCUACAGGCUUAACACAUGCAAGUCGAGGGGAAACGGCAUCGAAAGCUUGCUUUUGAUGGGCGUCGACCGGCGCACGGGUGAGUAACGCGUAUCCAACCUGCCCAUCACUUGGGAAUAACCUUGCGAAAGUAAGACUAAUGCCCAAUGACAUCCCACGAAGGCAUCCGAAUGGGAUUAAAGAUUUAUCGGUGAUGGAUGGGGAUGCGUCUGAUUAGCUUGUUGGCGGGGUGACGGCCCACCAAGGCAACGAUCAGUAGGGGUUCUGAGAGGAAGGUCCCCCACAUUGGAACUGAGACACGGUCCAAACUCCUACGGGAGGCAGCAGUGAGGAAUAUUGGUCAAUGGGCGAGAGCCUGAAACAGCCAAGUAGCGUGCAGGAGGACGGCCCUAUGGGUUGUAAACUGCUUUUAUAAGGGAAUAAAGUGGGUCACGUGUGACUUUUUGCAUGUACCUUAUGAAUAAGGACCGGCUAAUUCCGUG
rnacentral:rRNA from 1 species